UAUGGGUUGUAAACUGCUUUUAUACAGGAAUAAACCCCCGGAUGUAUUCGGGGUUGAAGGUACUGUAGGAAUAAGGACCGGCUAACUCCGUGCCAGCAGCCGCGGUAAUACGGAGGGUCCAAGCGUUAUCCGGAUUUAUUGGGUUUAAAGGGUGCGCAGGCGGGCCUGCCAGUCAGUGGUGAAAUCCCGGGGCUCAACUCCGGAACUGCCAUUGAUACUACAGGUCUUGAAUACGGUUGAGGUAGGCGGAAUGUAGCAUGUAGCGGUGAAAUGCAUAGAUAUGCUACAGAACACCGAUCGCGAGGGCAGCUUACCAAGCCGAUAUUGACGCUCAUGCACGANAGCGUGNGUAGCGAACAGGAUUAGAUCCCUGGUAGUCCACGCCGUAAACGAUGAUUACUCGUUGUUGGC
rnacentral:rRNA from 1 species